GGGGACGACCUGGCUUCGACGUGGGGUACAAAACUUAAGGUGCAUGCCGAGUAGGUUAGUUCUCUCGUAAAAAAGACUGACAAAUUAUAGUUGCAAACGAUAACAACUACGCACUAGCAGCUUAAUAACCUGUAAAUGCCGUCCGACCAAAGCCGUGCUUAUGCGUUUGGUAUCGGGCGUCGACUCUCAUAAGCAAAGCCUGUAGCGUGCUUGGCGCCAAAGGACGAAAAUUUUAUCAAGAUCGCGAACUGUUUUCCCUGUUCAUCGGGUAGCAUUUCGUUAAAAUAAUAGAUGAAAUAAGCAUGUAGAGCUGAAAGCAGCGGUCUUGCGGACGCGGGUUCGAUUCCCGCCGUCUCCACCA
rnacentral:tmRNA from 1 species